CCUACGGGUGGCAGCAGGGAGGAAUAUUGGUCAAUGGACGCAAGUCUGAACCAGCCAUGCCGCGUGCAGGAAGACGGCUCUAUGAGUGGUAAACUGCUUUUGUACGAGGGUAAACGCAGAUACGCGUAUCUGUCUGAAAGUAUCGUACGAAUAAGGAUCGGCUAACUCCGUGCCAGCAGCCGCGGUAAUACGGAGGGUUCAAGCGUUAUCCGGAUUUAUUGGGUUUAAAGGAUGGGUAGGCGGUCGGCUAAGUUAGAUGUGAAAUCCCGGGGCUCAACUUCGGAAUUGCCUCUGAUACUGGUCGGCUAGAGUGUAGUUGCGGUAGGCGGAAUGUGUGGUGUAGCGGUGAAAUGCUUAGAGAUCAUGCAGAACACCGAUUGCGAAGGCAGCUUACCAAGCUACUUCUGACGUUGAGGCACGAAAGCGUGGGGAGCAAACAGGAUUAGAUACCCUAGUAGUC
rnacentral:rRNA from 1 species